rnacentral:rRNA from 1 species
GACGAACGCUGGCGGCGUGCUUAACACAUGCAAGUCGAACGGAAAGGCCCUGCUUUUGUGGGGUGCUCGAGUGGCGAACGGGUGAGUAACACGUGAGUAACCUGCCCUUGACUUUGGGAUCACUUCAGUAAACUGGGGCUACUACCGGAUAGGCGCUCCUGCUGCAUGGUGGGGGUUGGAAAGUUUCGGCGGUUGGGGAUGGACUCGCGGCUUAUCAGCUUGUUGGUGGGGUAGUGGCUUACCAAGGCUUUGACGGGUAGCCGGCCUGAGAGGGUGACCGGCCACAUUGGGACUGAGAUACGGCCCAGACUCCUACGGGAGGCAGGAGUGGGGAAUAGUGCACAAUGGGCGGAAGCCUGAGGCAGCAACGCCGCGUGCGGGAUGACGGCCUUCGGGUUGUAAACCGCUUGCGCCUGGGACGAAGCGUGAGUGACGGUAAUGGGUAAAGAAGCACCGGCUAACUACGUG